UUCUCACACGUACAUGUAUGUGUCUGCAUACUCACCCACCCUCAUGCCCUCCUGCACACAAUCACACAUACACAUGCUCACUCACACACACUCUCAUUCUCGUGUGCAAAUGCUCUUGCGCAUACAUGCUUACUUGCAGGUUGCUUUUAUGGAACGUGGCCCUGAGGAGUAUGGAAUUUUCCAGCAGAAGAUUGUUUAGCACGUCUGUUGUUCUGACCUGGGGCAGCCACAGACCAAAUAAUCAGCUACUGACGCUUCUUGGCUCCAGUAGACUUGAAGCAACAUCAUGUUGAUCAAACUUCCUCAUAAAGGUCCAAUACAGAGAGAUGAAAUUAUUGAGAGCAAAUACUUACAAUUCUACCUUCUUACCUCCUGUUGCAUAAACACCAGUUGUUGGAACACUCAAGGGAAGUAUGUUUUUCCUUAAGGAUCUACCUGGUUACCCUACCCAAUCCUGGUGAUGGCUGGAUGUUCUUGACCUUUUUACCCUUGGCUCCCAUCUCAGCUGGACUUCUCCGGCACACAGACACUGGGAAGGAGGUAGGCGUGGGAAAGGGUUACUGGGGAGCCAUACCUGAGAAAGGAAAAGGAAGAGGUAGGACUGGGCAGAGGGAGCUGUCAGAGCAUCUUGCAGGUCUGAGGUCUCCACUA